CCAAUUGUAGCGCAAUGGAUAGCGCGUUGGACUUCUUAUCCAAAGGUCGUGGGUUCGAAUCCCACCAGAGAUGGC
rnacentral:tRNA from 1 species